rnacentral:lncRNA from 1 species
AAGGAGACGCGCCGGCGUUGCUGGGUGUUGCCGCCGCCGUCGCAACCUUGCCGAGCCUUGGAGGGAGACCCCGCCGUUAAGCCGCGUCACCGUCGAACUCGUCCAACAGCGCCACCGCGCUCAGCCCUGUCUCGCGUCGCCACUGUGCCAUGCGUCACCGCCGUUCGCACUGUCAGUUUCGCGCAGGGGAAACCAUGGCCGUCGAGGGUCCAUCCACGCCGUAGUUGAAGCUUGAACGCCGCUGCAACCACCGCGUGUUAUCGUCUUCAAAUCGCCGCCGUUGGAGUCGCGAACAGAGAUCGCUCGCAAGGGAAAUCGUCGCGGAGCUUCCGUCUUCGCCGCGUGCUGGGCUCGCCGUCGUUCUGCCCGCGCAGUUGCUGCGUUGCCGGAGCUCCUCGCCGCCGCUGCUGGCCCCGGAAACCGCC